GACAGAGGAGCCAAGCGUUGUCCGGAUUGACUGGGCGUAAAGCGCACGCAGGCGGUCGCGCGCGUGGGGUGUGAAAACUGGCGGCUUAACUGCCAGAGGCCAUCCCAUACGGCGCGACUCGAGCCAUGCAGAGGUCCACGGAAUUGCCGGUGUAGUGGUGAAAUGCGUAGAGAUCGGGAGGAACACCUGUGGCGAAGGCGGCCGACUGGGCCGACCCUGGACGCUGAGG
rnacentral:rRNA from 1 species